rnacentral:rRNA from 1 species
AUUGAACGCUGGCGGCAUGCUUUACACAUGCAAGUCGAACGGCAGCGCGGGCUUCGGCCUGGCGGCGAGUGGCGAACGGGUGAGUAAUGCAUCGGAACGUGCCCAGUAGUGGGGGAUAGCCCGGCGAAAGCCGGAUUAAUACCGCAUACGACCUGCGGGUGAAAGCGGGGGACCGAAAGGCCUCGCGCCAUUGGAGCGGCCGAUGUCGGAUUAGCUAGUUGGUGGGGUAAAGGCUUACCAAGGCGACGAUCCGUAGCUGGUCUGAGAGGACGACCAGCCACACUGGGACUGAGACACGGCCCAGACUCCUACGGGAGGCAGCAGUGGGGAAUUUUGGACAAUGGGGGCAACCCUGAUCCAGCCAUGCCGCGUGAGGGAAGAAGGCCUUCGGGUUGUAAACCGCUUUUGUUCGGGAAGAAAGCCUCUGGGCUAAUACCCCGGGGGGAUGACGGUACCGGAAGAAUAAGCACCGGCUAACUACGUG